AAGUCGAACGCGCAGCGAGAGGUGCUUGCACCUUUCAAGCGAGUGGCGAACGGGUGAGUAACACGUGGAUAACCUGCCUCAAGGCUGGGGAUAACAUUUGGAAACAGAUGCUAAUACCGAAUAAAACUUAGUAUCGCAUGAUAUCAAGUUAAAAGGCGCUACGGCGUCACCUAGAGAUGGAUCCGCGGUGCAUUAGUUAGUUGGUGGGGUAAAGGCUUACCAAGACGAUGAUGCAUAGCCGAGUUGAGAGACUGAUCGGCCACAUUGGGACUGAGACACGGCCCAAACUCCUACGGGAGGCUGCAGUAGGGAAUCUUCCACAAUGGGCGCAAGCCUGAUGGAGCAACGCCGCGUGUGUGAUGAAGGCUUUCGGGUCGUAAAGCACUGUUGUAUGGGAAGAAAUGCUAAAAUAGGGAAUGAUUUUAGUUUGACGGUACCAUACCAGAAAGGGACGGCUAAAUACGUGCCAGCAGCCGCGGUAAUACGUAUGUCCCGAGCGUUAUCCGGAUUUAUUGGGCGUAAAGCGAGCGCAGACGGUUGAUUAAGUCUGAUGUGAAAGCCCGGAGCUCAACUCCGGAAUGGCA
rnacentral:rRNA from 1 species